CGGAGGCUCUCUCUUCCGCACGAGAACGAGAGACGCCUGGCGCUAGGGUUCCCUUCGCCGCCACGCCCCAUCCCUCCGCUCCCGGCAACCCUCGCUACUCUCUCCCAUCCCCUUGCAGUCGCCCUCGUAGUCCCCCGCCGUUGGCCAGGGCAGAGACAGCUUCUUUCGCGCGGCGAGGUGGAGCAGGGUCAACGCGGCGGCUCGAGCGGCUGGGGGCGGCACGGCUGAUCGAUGUAGAGCGGCGGGGGCGGCUGGAUCGACGGUGGCGGCUGGAUCUUGCAGAACGGCGCCGCUGGAGGUCAACGCGGCGGAUUGAGCGGCUGGCGGCGGCGCGGCUGCUCGACGAGGAUCGGCGGUGGCGGCUGGAGCUUUUAGAACGGCGGCGGCGGAGGCUGGAGCUUGUAGAUCGGCGGGCCAACCUGAGCAACAGCUCCAAGGAGGACGCCACCAGGUGCCUGGUCUGGCUGGGGGACCUCAUCGACGCCAAGAAGUUGGGAGGCAGUGCUGCUGGCAGCGACACGCUGCACCUCCCUGUCGCCGGCGUGGCUACUGCAGGUCCAAAGACACAGUGUACUAUGCUCAUGCAUAUGUGACAUAAACCAAUUCUGCAUUAUGCUGCUCAGUGCUCGCAAAUACUGCAAAAUUACUAGGCCUAGGAGAUUUGAGCAUUUGUGAAGGUUUUGGGACACGAAGCCCCAUUGAAGGUUUUGAAUUUUCAAAGCUUCAAAGAUGUUGCAGCUGUGACAAACAAUUUUCACACAUCACAUAUGAUCGGACAAGGUGGUUUUGGCAACGUCUAAUGUCGCCGCCGUGGAGUUCACUGGAAGAAGAACAUCGGUCGAGCAUUCCAAUGUCGCCUCCGCCAAGUUCGCCACCGAGCCAUCCAAUGUCGCCUCUGCUGAGUUCGCCGGAGGAAGAACAUCCGCCGUCCGAACGUGCUACACCAGAGAAGCUCCUUCAGCUAAUAUUAUUACGAUUGGAGCGGCAGGCAUGUCCAUAUUCGGUGCUGCCAGCGGCAAGCAAUACAGGGUAGGUUUUGUAAGUGCUAACAUGGUAAAUUAAUAGGGAUUAUCUAAUCUUUUUGUAUUAAGGAGUUCUAUACGUUUGCAUCAUGCAAAUAUUAUUGUACUAUUAAUUAGUCUAUACUGGAGAAGUCAAAGAGUAUCAUACUCAGGGUCAGUUACGUAGUUGGAAUAUUUGUAACCACACACUAACCUGAAAGUUAGGCACACUAAUUAAGUUUGAUUUUUUUAACAGAAGGAUUUUAUUAAUAUGGCAUUAAGCACACUUUACAAAUAGCAGCUCGAGUGGCUGAGCACUCAUUGCUGAUAGCUCAUUACAGCAAGUCUAGACUGAUGGUGUGCCUUCAAAUUCAGGCUCCUGUGCACUUUGAGUAUUCUGCAUGGAUGAAAUGUAGGCGUGGUCUGGAUAGCAGCUAAGAUUGGCCGGAUAGCCCACGGACCUGCUUUAGUAACAUCAGUUUCUACAACAGCUGAGGCAAGCACGGCAGAGUCUGUCAAAAACUUCGGAUCCUACACAUGUAGUUGAGCUGCAAUCUUCACCGCCAACAGCAGUCCAUAAGCUUCUCUACCUGCAGAGCUGAUGCUACUGGUGGCCACACAGCAGAGAUGUAUACAUGUUCGGUAUGUUGCCCGUUAAUUUGUAAGAAAACACCUAUGUCCGCCUUUGCUACAGCUUGUCCUGGCUCCAACGACCAAGCUGCAUCUGAGUAUAUUUGUGUACCUAAAAAAUCUACUGUAGACUGAGAAGUAACAACACUAGAGAGCUUUAGCUGUUCUGGCUGACUGUGAUCUCCCUUCCGAGUUGAAUCGGGAACAUGUAACUCCUUAAUCAGUAAAAUGUACAAUGUACAAUGCACAAUAUCAAACUGUUCUUAUCUUUCUCA